rnacentral:rRNA from 1 species
UACGAAGGGUGCAAGCGUUACUCGGAAUUACUGGGCGUAAAGCGUGCGUAGGUGGUUUGUUAAGUCUGUUGUGAAAGCCCCGGGCUCAACCUGGGAAUGGCAAUGGAUACUGGCAAGCUAGAGUGCGGUAGAGGGUAGUGGAAUUCCCGGUGUAGCGGUGAAAUGCGUAGAGAUCGGGAGGAACACCGAUGGCGAAGGCAGCCCCCUGGGUCAAGAUUGACGCUCAUGCACGAAAGCGUGGGGAGCAAACAGG